UACGAAGGGGGCGAGCGUUGUUCGGAAUCACUGGGCGUAAAGCGCACGUAGGCGGCUUUGUAAGUUAGAGGUGAAAGCCCAGGGCUUAACCCUGGAAUUGCCUUUAAGACUGCAUCGCUAGAAUCGUGGAGAGGUGAGUGGAAUUCCGAGUGUAGAGGUGAAAUUCGUAGAUAUUCGGAAGAACACCAGUGGCGAAGGCGACUCACUGGACACGUAUUGACGCUGAGGUGCGAAAGCGUGGGGAGCAAACAGG
rnacentral:rRNA from 1 species